rnacentral:misc_RNA from 1 species
UCCACAAACUUUAUUUUAAUUUAAUUUUUAAAGACAUUUUUCUAUUGCUAGGUCCUGUCAACCGACACGGAGUAAAGUAAACACCGUUAAACUCUUAUUUCCAACUGAUACAGAUGUUUGGUAACAUAUUUAACGAAGACGACGUUGCUUUGAGUGAAGCAAUUGAAGAAAGCAGACGUUUACAGAUUAGCACCAAUGGCAAUGCACCAGAUAGCCCGCGUGCCCAGUGCCAGUUGGCUGGCAUUAACAACCAGGGAGCAACUUGCUAUCUAAACUCUCUUCUACAAACACUAUUCUUUACUCCGGAGUUUAGAGGAGCAUUGUUUGGUUUAUCAGAACGUGAACUAGGAAGAUUAGAAGACAAAGAUAAUCCUAGAUUAAAGGUCAGAGUUAUUCCCCUUCAGCUGAAAAGGUUAUUUUUGAGGCUUCUUCUCAGCAAUCGACAGAGUAUUUCCACAGUGGAAUUAACAGAGAGUUUUGGCUGGACUAAUAGUGAGGAACUGCAGCAACAUGAUGUCCAGGAGCUCAACCGGAUUCUCUUCCUGGCUAUUGAAGACUCGCUGGCUGGCACCCGAGGAAACAACCUCAUCAAGGAGCUUUAUCACGGCAAGCUCGUUAAUCAGAUUACGUGCAUGCAGUGUGGGAAAAUCAGUGAAAGGGAGGAGGACUUUUUAGAUUUGACGGUGACCGUCGGUGGAGUCGACUCGCUGGUCGAUGGGUUUCAACAGAUGUUUUGUGACAUGGAGAUGAUGAAGGGUAAAAACCAGUACUGGUGUGAGGUCUGUCGGAGACUGGUCGAUGCCAAAAAGGGAACUAAAAUAAGAAGCUUGCCUCCCAUACUGACCAUCUCACUGUUGCGGUUCAGUUACAACUUCAGGAAAAUGGAACGCUACAAGGAGACUGGAAAGUUUACAUUUCCUAUGUCAAUCAAUAUGAAAGAGUUCUUGGAUGAGGAAAUGCCCUCGGAUGUGACGGAAUAUGAACUGUUUUCUGUGGUGAUUCACCGUGGGAGUGCUCACGGCGGCCACUACCACGCCUACAUCCGAGAUGUUGAUAACCUCGGUAACUGGGUUAAACCUGAGAGCGCAGCGUUGGAGGUUCCCCGCUGUGCCUCGGCCACAGGCGACAUCCAGUACGACUCGCCAGUUGACCUGUGUCACCAGAUUCUGUCGAGACAUCCUCACAGGGCAAUGAACAUAAACAAGCUCUGCGUCGAGAUUUGCAAUCAGACUGGGCACUCUUGGAAUAAGCUCUUCAAGAAGCGAUAUGGUUCGAUUAAUAAGUUUUUCCAAAAGUAUGAUGACAAGUUUGUACUGAAUCUGGAUUCAGGGUUUGUUAGUUUAAGGCAAGACUUGCCACAGAAACUUGAGAAAAACAACAAUCGGACCAAAUCCCCGACUGACCAUAAGUCGAAGAGGCGUGAUAGUUCACAAUCUGAUGACAGAGACAGGAGAAAAGAUGAUGAGCGACCCUCUUCGCCACUACCACCGGAAGGCUAUCGAUGGUUCAAUUUUGAUGAUUCUGUAAUUAGUCCUAUCAGAGCUAAGGACAUAGAAAAACAGUUUUCUGGAAAGGAAAGUGCCUAUAUGCUGUUCUACAGAAAGAAAUCACUGAUCAGACCCGAGGAAGCUAUGGGUAAUCCAGUAUAUGAACUAUCCGAGAGUUUGGUCAACCCGAUUCUGCAGGAGAACAGGGAGCUGGAAAUGCAAAGGCAAGAGUAUGAGUGUAUCAUAAACAUGGUCACCCUGCAGGUUCACUUCUCGCCACACUAUGGUUAUGUUGACGGUGCUCUCAAGAACUGUGGUGGAGACCACGCUUUCACCGAGCUCACUAUGGACAGAAGACAAACGGUGCAGGACCUGAUUGUUGCAGUUAAAGAGAUAGGCGGUCAUCUGGUUCCUAAACAACUAGUUCUGCAUAGAAUGCGUGAUCUCCCAGCUGGCUUCCAUCUUUAUGAUGAGAUAACACAAGACUGUUCAAAGGAACUUGUCCAACUGUCCAUCGAUAGUGACACAAAGCUAUUUGCCUGGAACGGUCACAAGGUGAAAGAUAAACCUAUUCCAGUGGGCGCCAGCAGUGAGCCUGUCUACCUGACCAUCAUCCACGGAAACCCGGCUCAGUUCAGUCGCGGAUUUCCAAGAGACAUGACUUUCGACGACUUCCGGUCGUGUAUCUGUGAUCUCACCCAAGUGGACUUCUCCACCAUCGUGCUCAAGAAGAUCGUGGGUAAGAACUCUGCGAUGCACGUCCAGACUCUGGAAGACUGUACGUCGACUCUCGAAGGUCUUCAAUUCAAAGACGGGGAUCAAAUCAUUGUGGAAGACAAAAUGAAAAAUAGCAUUUCUUUAGCCGAGAAAACUGCUGCACGACAAAGUCAGUUCUUUAUUACAGUGCAGAACAAAUGUGGACAGUGUCUUCAUGAUGGCAGCUGGCCCAAGACAACUGUACAUGUCAGCAAAGAUAUGUUGCUGUCCACUGUCAAGUCGUGUGCCAUGGAGAAGUUUGGAGUGAAUGAGGUUCUGGACGGAGGACGUCUUCGUGUGGAUCAUGAGACUCUGGGACUGAGAGUGCCGCUGCAUGAAGAGUUGACAGUUGGAGAUGCUAAUAUUACCAACAAGUCGGUUGUCAUACUAGAGCCUGGCAAAGCUCCGGAAAAACACCAGAUCACAUUGACUGUGAGCUCCGGUGACCCUAACAUUGAACUCCCUGAGAUGGAAAUAACCGUGGAUUACAACAUCACCGUGGGCAGAUGUUUAAAACAUAUCAUCCACAAAUGUCACCUACGAGGUGAUUCAUGGCAUCUAAGGAAAACCAACUGGUGUGGAGAAGCAGCCGACCUUCUAGAUGACCUUGACAUAUCACUAGAAAACAGUUUGGUUAAUGAUGGAGAUCACAUUCUAUUGAAGGAAGGAAAAUUACCUCCAAAGGGUUAUUUCCAACUGCCCAUCUUUUUGUACUCUUUUGAAGAUAGUUCCCAGAAUUCGUGGAUCAUCAAUUCUAUUGCAAGUAGUAUUCAAGCUCUGAUGUCCAAGAUCCUCACGACCACCAGCUGCGCCUCCCACAAGGGCCUGGCGCCCAUCGGAGAGGUGCAGAUAUCCAAAGACGCAUCACUAGAGGAGCUCAAACAGAAGAUCUUGAUGCUGCCACAAGUUUUGGAGCUGUACAUCACAACACCAGAUUUCAUCCGCAUUCGCCUUAUCGAGAACAACCGCCUGACCACCAUACUCAGGGUCCUCCAUCAGUCUCUUAGACGCCAGAAGGUGACUUCCAGCAGUAGAAUCGCUAUCCAAGUGUUGGAUGUCGAAGAGCAGCUCAGCCAGUACGAGAUUGUCCUUGCUGUGAAGGAGAGAAUAGCAGACACGAGAGACUACGGGCCAGAGAAGGAGCUGAUCUGGAACACGUCACAGAGCGCCGACUCGCGCUGUCUUCGCAAAAGCAUUGCAGAGCUGCUGAAUAUUCAGGCUGAUACUAUUGUCAUGGCUAAGCACUUUCCACAGAAAUUCACAUGGCUUCCCAUCACAGAAAUGUCAGUGUCUAGGUCGGAGAGUCAUAAAGGCAGAAAGAAGUCGCGCCUUCCGAAACUUCCAAGUUUGAAACAACCUCCAUUUCAUAUAACAGAUGGCGACAUCAUAGGCGUGCAGUCUCACCGUGAUAACAAAUAUGACUUCAACACAGUGGAAGAUGAUGAGGGGCUAGAAGAACUUAAGAGAGAAGCUGAGGAGAAGAGGAAGAUGAGAGAAGAAAGGAAGAAUGCUUCUAAUGGAACUGGAUCUAGAAAACGAAAACCAGAAGUUCCUUUGAAGAUUAAAGUGGACAGUUUCACGUGACACUUUCAGACUUAUCACGUUCUGUGAUUGCUCACUGUACCAUGUUUGUUCAAAACAAUUUAGGGUACCAAAUAAGAGUUAAGUGUUCCUAUGAUAUCAUUCUUGCACGACGUUUGACAGCAGCAGAAGGAACCAAAUGAUGACAUCACUGAUGUCCAUCAUUAAUGGAAUGGAUGACCUCCAUUUUCUGCUAAAUAUCAGAGCAUCUGUGCUGAAAUUGCAAAUAUUGGUGGUUCAGUUGCAAUGUUUUCUAAAAUCUGAUUACUGUGGUUCUCUUUCUUAUACAGGGCACACAGCAAUUUCAGUGUUACCACAGGGCUUUAUGGUAAAUACUAUCAUUAAGGGCUUUAUAAAAACAAAUAAGGGUGGAUGGGGUGGGGAGCAUUGUGUUAAAAGUCUUCUAAGGGGAGUGUGUGUUGAUCAAGGGAAACCACAUUUGAGACUGAUUCACACAGUUUGUCACUGAAUCAUUUAGUUCGUAACGGUGAAAUAUAGGUAUUACUUUCCCAGCAACAGUGACAGUAUAACGGUGAAAUAUAGCUAUUACUUUCCCUGUAACGGUGAAAUAUAGGUACUACUUUCCUGACAACAGUAACAGUGAAAUAUAGCUGUUACUUUCCCGGUAACGGUGAAAUAUAGGUACUACUUUCCUGACAACAGCGACAGUGUAACCGUGAAAUAUGGGUACUACUUUCCUGACAACAGUGACAGUGUAACAGUGAAAUAUAGGUACUACUUUCCUGACAACAGCGACAGUGUAACUGUGAAAUAUAGGUACUACUUUCCUGACAACAGGGACAGUGUAACAGUGAAAUAUAGGUACUACUUUCCUGACAACAGUGACAGUGUAACUGUGAAAUAUAGGUACUACUUUCCUGACAACAGCGACAGUGUAACAGUGAAAUAUAGGUACUACUUUUCUGGCAACAGCAACAGUGAAAUAUAGGUACUACUUUCCUGGCGACAGUGUAACGGUGAAAUAUAGGUACUACUUUCCUGACAACAGCGACAGUGUAACGGUGAAAUAUAGGUACUACUUUUCUGGCAACAGCGACAGUGAAAUAUAGGUACUACUUUUCUGGCAACAGCGACAGUGUAACGGUGAAAUAAAGGUACUACUUUCCUGGCAACAGCAACAGUGAAAUAUAGGUACUACUUUCCUGGCGACAGUGUAACGGUGAAAUAUAGGUACUACUUUCCUGGCAACAGCAACAGUGAAAUAUAGGUACUACUUUCCUGGCGACAGUGUAACGGUGAAAUAUAGGUACUACUUUCCUGGCAACAGCAACAGUGAAAUAUAGGUACUACUUUCCUGGCGACAGUGUAACGGUGAAAUAUAGGUACUACUUUCCUGACAACAGCAACAGUGAAAUAUAGGUACUACUUUUCUGGCAACAGCGACAGUGUAACGGUGAAAUAAAGGUACUACUUUCCUGGCAACAGCAACAGUGAAAUAUAGGUACUACUUUCCUGGCAACAGCAACAGUGAAAUAUAGGUACUACUUUCCUGGCGACAGUGUAACGGUGAAAUAUAGGUACUACUUUCCUGGCAACAGCAACAGUGAAAUAUAGGUACUACUUUCCUGGCGACAGUGUAACGGUGAAAUAUAGGUACUACUUUCCUGGCAACAGCAACAGUGAAAUAUAGGUACUACUUUCCUGGCGACAGUGUAACGGUGAAAUAUAGGUACUAUCCUGGCAACAGCGACAGUGUAACGGUGAAAUAUAGGUACUACUUUCCUGGCAACAGCGACAGUGUAACAGUGAAAUAUAGGUACUACUUUCCUGGCAACAGCAACAGUGAAAUAUAGGUACUACUUUCCUGGCGACAGUGUAACGGUGAAAUAUAGGUACUAUCCUGGCAACAGCGACAGUGUAACGGUGAAAUAUAGGUACUACUUUCCUGGCAACAGCGACAGUGUAACGGUGAAAUAUAGGUACUACUUUCCUGGCGACAGUGUAACGGUGAAAUAUAGGUACUACUUUCCUGGCAACAGCAACAGUAUCAAUGUUGGUGUUUAGCUCCAAUGUUAUAUGUUUGUGUUCGGGUCCUAGAUCAGUGAAACUUGGUUAAUAGUUGCACCUAUGAAAGUUCAUUAUUUCAAUAUAUGUAUCAUUGUUUUAAGAAAAAUACAAAAAAAAUUAUUAAAUGAAAUAUAUAUUUAUA